rnacentral:lncRNA from 1 species
AGUUUGAGGUGAUUGUCGUGGAUCCCGUACUGCAGUCUAGCCGACAGAAAUGUGAGUCUGGAACUCUGCAGAGAGACUGAGGUUGGAAACAUCUCCAAGACUUCUUUAAUCACAAAAUUUUUUUUCCACAGAAUAUUUUCUAAACUCUAAUACAUGGCUCACAAGCCAGACAUGCAUGGAAAUUUGUGAUAUAGCUCUUUAUGCUAGGAUUAACGAAGACAGAAAAAUAUAAAUCCCUGGACAAAUUGUUAGAAAAAAUGAUCGGAUUUUGGCAUAGAUAUUUGGAAACGUAACCAGAAGAAGUAAACAAAUAUGGAAGAAUGCUGGUGGCUUCGGCACGUAUCUCUGACUGUGGUGGCCUUGAUGUUCAUGACUCCUGAGGCUUCGGCACAUCCUGACCAGGGACAGAAGGUGUUAGAAGAAAAGGUCAGACAGCUGAUGGACUGGACUAAGAGAGACAGAGUGAUGAGAAUGAAUACUGCCGCGUUCAACCAUUUUGUAUUAGAAAAGCCCAGAAACUAUUCCGUUAUUGCAAUGUUUACUGCUCUCCAGAGGUUUAGAUCAUGUGCACCGUGCAAACUUGCUGUUGAAGAAUUUCAGGUCUUGGCAGGUUCCUGGCAAUUCUCCAGUGCAUUCAGCAACAAGGUAUUUUUUGCUAUGCUGGAUUUUGAUGAAAGCCCUGAGGUCUUUAAAACACUCCAGGUGAAGGGAGGUCCAGUUGUCCUCCAUCUUCCUGCUAAAAGUGAAUUCACAGCAGAUGACAUUUAUAAUUUCCAAGUAAGGGAUAUCUCUGCGCAGCAUAUGUUCACAUGGGUAGACGACAGAACUGGGAGAUGGAUGGGCAAUUUCACAACCAGACAGCCUAUACAUUUUCACUAUCCCUUCAAGUUAGGGAUAUCUGUGGCUCUCAUCGGUGGACUUGUGUAUGUAUUGAAAUGGAAGAGGACGUUUAUUUUUAGCAAAAAUUUUUGGGCGGUUUUAGCUCUGUGUUUUGUAAUCUUGAUGUCAUCUGGUCGAAUGUGGAUUCAUAUACGAGGAGCCCCGUUUGCUGAAAGCAAAACUCACACAGGACAGACACAUUAUAUUCAAGACACGUAUUUCUUUCAGUAUGUAGCAGAAAUGUACAUCAUUUCUCUGUUUUAUAUGUGCAUUACCCUGGGAAUGGUGCUGUUAAGUACAGCUGCCACCUCUCGUAUGAACAUUAUAAGGAGGAAGAUAAUGUCCGUGACUGGUAUGUGUCUACUUGUCAUCUUCUUCAGUUGGCUGCUUUCUCUCGUCAGACUUAAAUAUCAUGUCUAUCCAUUCAGAAUUCUCAUGAAUUAAAAAGGAUCCUAGAGAUGUUAAACAAGGAAGCAAGAAACUUUUUUUUUUAAUGUGGAGACAAAAACAUGAAGCGGAAGAAUAUGAACUCAUAACUUCUUUAAGUGAUUGAGAUUUAGCCAAAGGAGACAUGUGGUGCUUUGGUAAUAACAAGCUGGUUUUUUUUCCUCAA